CAGUUGAGGUAGCAACUACACGACCGCCGGCUCCAAACUGACCCCGGGUUGCCUUCAGGGACUGGCAAGUGUGUCGUAAUUACGAACGACCCGACGAGCACUCACACGAAGUGGUAAACAUGGCUGCAAUUAGUCGUGACUUUCCAUGCUGUCGAAGUUGUGCGGAAAUUGUAAAGGUCAGUGAAAAAAAUGACCCGAUGUCUAUGGCGCCAAUGAUUUCUGUCGGCUGCGAUGGACUACAAAUAAGUGUCUUCGGUGGAGUGUAUUCCUGUAGAGAGAGAGAGAGAGAGAGAGAAAAAAAAAAGGAAUCACAGCCAAACUCUCCUCCAGACUUUACAUGACCUUGUAUUUCUUCAUCAGUCUGACUGCAGACAAGUCCACUGGCUUUGUGAAGGAGCCGUCGUGACUUUUAGAGUCUUGUGUCAUUUGCUCAGUUGAGGUAAAGGGAUUGAUAAAACGCCCCGGUGCUGGGCUGUGGCCAGAUUUGUCACAUUUUUAUUCAGGGGAUGCUGCGGUGUCCUUGUAAAAGACUAAAGCUAUUCCAAACUAAGGCUGCUAUGCUUGCUUUUCAUCUGUAAUUUCUGUGUUGCUCUAGUUUUUUUCCAUAAAUGAUCCUCUUUUUCGUGAGUGGUCUUAAAUUGGUUAUGCAAGUUCAGUCCAACCUCUUAGUAAGUUUCAUGGUGCUGUUUAAAUGUUUUCAAUACUUUAUACGUAGAUGAAUGCAAAUACUGGGACUC